CUGAAAGCCUGCAGGCCGGCCACUUCUGUGUCCCACACUCAGACCUGCUCGCCCUCCUGCAGGCCGGGUCUCUGAGGCCUCCUAUUCCUCUUCCAAAGCUCAGGAGCAGCCACAGAGACCCCUGAUCCCAUCCUUCACCUCCCUUCCCUCUCUCCUCCUGCGCCCACUCCCGGCACACAGCUCACUGGGUUUCUGCACUCCUCUGGCCUCGGCCACCUCACAGCCCCAGGAGGUAGAGGUGCCUUCAGAGUCCUGUGGCCCAUCUCCUCCGCUAUUCCUUUCUCCUUGUACUUCCUGUGGGACCCAUCACCCCAGAAUCCUGUAGAAGUGACAUCUCACCCCUGGAAACAGACUGUCCAACAGAGAAGCCAUUAGAACUUCCAGUUUUUAAUAACAUGGACUAUGCACUCCAGAUCCCUCAUCCCUUCCCAGACGCCUCCCUGCUCCUGAUCCUCUCCCACCCCAGGAGAGGGAUGUGGGUGGGUGCAGCGUGAGACUCCGGCGUACUAGUUGGCAGCUCACCCGUGAGCAGGUGGCCACCUUGUGCCCUACGCGCCAUCUUGCUGCAUCCUUAGGCAAGAUGGCGGCCUCCAGGGUCCUCAAGGUCAGGAUGGCGCCACCUGCUGCACUUAGAGCUGGUUCCCAAGUGCAGGACCUGACCUCUGUGGUUACAAAGGUGUCCUUCUGCAGAGGGCGAGAGAAUCAGCCCUGAGAUUCCCCUGAAAUGUGCUGCACCCACCGCACGGGCUAUUUAUAGCCCACGGGGGUGCUGCUAGGGUGAAGUGACAUCUAGGGUGAAGUGACAUCUGCUGGCAGGCGCUGCCCCCUCCACCAGGGCGGAC
rnacentral:lncRNA from 1 species